GACGAACGCUGGCGGCGUGCUUAACACAUGCAAGUCGAACGGGAAGGCCUGCUUUCCCUUGUGGAUUGCGGGUACUCGAGUGGCGAACGGGUGAGUAACACGUGAGUGAUCUGCCCCCAACUUGGGUAUAAGCCUGGGAAACUGGGUCUAAUUCCCGAUAGGACUGCAGGGUGGUGCCUGUGGUGGAAAACGAUUUUCUAGUGGUUGGGGAUGAGCUCGCGGCCUAUCAGCUUGUUGGUGGGGUAAUGGCCUACCAAGGCGGCGACGGGUAGCCGGCCUGGGAGGGUGGACGGCCACAUUGGGACUGAGAUACGGCCCAGACUCCUGCGGGAGGCAGCAGUGGGGAAUAUUACACAAUGGGCGGAAGCCUGAUGCAGCGACGCCGCGUGGGGGAUGACGGCCUUCGGGUUGUAAACUCCUUUCGACCGCGAGGAAGCCACCUGGUUGGAAGGGUGGUGACGGUAGUGGUAGAAGAAGCACCGGCUAACUACGUG
rnacentral:rRNA from 1 species